rnacentral:rRNA from 1 species
UUGACCUCGGAUCAGGUAGGGAUACCCGCUAACUU